CGUAGGCGGUUUUUUAAGUCAGAGGUGAAAGCCUGGAGCUCGACUCCAGAACUGCCUUUGAAACUGGAAAACUUGAAUCUUGGAGAGGUCAGUGGAAUUCCGAGUGUAGAGGUGAAAUUCGUAGAUAUUCGGAAGAACACCAGUGGCGAAGGCGACUGACUGGACAAGUAUUGACGCUGAGGUGCGAAAGCGUGGGGAGCAAACA
rnacentral:rRNA from 1 species